GACCUUGAAAUACCACCCUUUAAUGUUUGAUGUUCUAACGUUGGCCCGUAAUCCGGGUUGCGGACAGUGUCUGGUGGGUAGUUUGACUGGGGCGGUCUCCUCCUAAAGAGUAACGGAGGAGCACGAAGGUUGGCUAAUCCUGGUCGGACAUCAGGAGGUUAGUGCAAUGGCAUAAGCCAGCUUGACUGCGAGCGUGACGGCGCGAGCAGGUGCGAAAGCAGGUCAUAGUGAUCCGGUGGUUCUGAAUGGAAGGGCCAUCGCUCAACGGAUAAAAGGUACUCCGGGGAUAACAGGCUGAUACCGCCCAAGAGUUCAUAUCGACGGCGGUGUUUGGCACCUCGAUGUCGGCUCAUCACAUCCUGGGGCUGAAGUAGGUCCCAAGGGUAUGGCUGUUCGCCAUUUAAAGUGGUACGCGAGCUGGGUUUAGAACGUCGUGAGACAGUUC
rnacentral:rRNA from 1 species